AGUGAACGCUGGCGGUAGGCCUAACACAUGCAAGUCGAACGGCAGCACAGUAAGAGCUUGCUCUUACGGGUGGCGAGUGGCGGACGGGUGAGGAAUACAUCGGAAUCUACUUUUUCGUGGGGGAUAACGUAGGGAAACUUACGCUAAUACCGCAUACGACCUACGGGUGAAAGCAGGGGAUCUUCGGACCUUGCGCGAUUGAAUGAGCCGAUGUCGGAUUAGCUAGUUGGCGGGGUAAAGGCCCACCAAGGCGACGAUCCGUAGCUGGUCUGAGAGGAUGAUCAGCCAAACUGGAACUGAGACACGGUCCAGACUCCUACGGGAGGCAGCAGUGGGGAAUAUUGGACAAUGGGCGCAAGCCUGAUCCAGCAAUACCGCGUGGGUGAAGAAGGCCUUCGGGUUGUAAAGCCCUUUUGUUGGGAAAGAAAAGCAGCAGGUUAAUACCCCGCUGUUCUGACGGUACCCAAAGAAUAAGCACCGGCUAACUUCGUG
rnacentral:rRNA from 1 species